UACGUAGGGUGCAAGCGUUAAUCGGAAUUACUGGGCGUAAAGCGUGCGCAGGCGGUUAUGCAAGACAGAUGUGAAAUCCCCGGGCUCAACCUGGGAACUGCAUUUGUGACUCCAUGGCUAGAGUACGGUAGAGGGGGAUGGAAUUCCGCGUGUAGCAGUGAAAUGCGUAGAUAUGCGGAGGAACACCGAUGGCGAAGGCAAUCCCCUGGACCUGUACUGACGCUCAUGCACGAAAGCGUGGGGAGCAAACAGG
rnacentral:rRNA from 1 species